UAUCGAAAAAUAAUUUUUAUAUGUUUUUAGAAGGAUAGAUCGAUUUUGUAACGAAAAUUGUUUUUAAUAAAAACAUCGAUGAGAAACGUUCGAUGGUUUAAUGGUUUUAAGGGACUAAUCGAUUAUUUUUCAAAAUUUAUUUUGUUUGAAAUAUAUUUGUAGAGAUAUAUUUUCUUUUAUUAUUUUUCAAAGGAAGACACACGCAUUUCUAGGAAAAAAUAUAAGUCACUGAUGAUUCAAUAAUCUCUCUCUGCAUCGUCUUAAUCGCUAUGGAUACUUUAAAUUCUUAUAUCUCGACAACCGAUUAAGAUAUCAAGAUGAAACAAAAAAAGACUUCAGUGACACCGUUUCUUCUAUUUUCUCAAUUUUCUCCAAAAGUCUCCACCACACACAUAUCUCUUCUUUUCCUUUUU